rnacentral:snoRNA from 1 species
UCCGAUGAUGGCAUGAUAUCUUUGAGACCUGAUCGUUUGUUUCGUUUGAUGACAACUGCAAGCAAAAUCGCUGAGGAC